UAAAGAAAGAAUUUGAGAUAAAAGAUUUAGGAAAAACAAAAUUUUGUCUUGGCCUGCAGAUCAAGUAUUUAAAAGAUGAAAUUCAUGUCCAUCAGUCAACUUAUAUGAAAAAAAUCUUAAAUAAAUUUUGUAGUCGGCCAAAUAUGCCCGGGCCCGUUACAAACAAACCAUAAAACAUAAAAUAAAUUUAUAACAGUCCAAUAAAUGUCCAAAGUUCAGAUUACAUGACCCAAGACCCAAGUCACAAGCCCACUUACGAAAUGACUCAGCCUAAUACCCCGAAUGGCCCAUAAAUUUUAGGACCCUAGGGUUCUUACCCAUGCGCUGCAACCAGCCAAGCCCCAUGUACGGCCUCCGUACCCUCUAGCAACCACACCCGCGCCAGCACAGUCUCACGCCAAGCGCCAGCGCCAGCGCCAGCGCAUCCCGUACCUGCAAAAGAAAGGACGAACACGGCAACAAACACAAACAAAAAUAGCAGAACAGCAAAUGAAAAAAAUGGCAUUUUUAAUUUAUUUUCCUUUUUCUUUUUUCCUUCGGCUAUAAAGCCAUAGUUCUUAGUCUAUGUAAAGGUUACGAAUGCCUACACAUUUUACGCAAGAUAUACAAGCAAUACAAAGCAAAAAAGGUGAUUUUCCAGAUCUGUUUUCUUUUCGUUUCUCUUGAGGGGUUUCGCAAACUUAGCGUGAACACGUAAGGGGAACUUGAAUCGACGCCGAUGAAAAUCCAAGCAUCUAAAAACGCAUGGAUGUGGGUAAGGGUCGAACGGCGUUAAAAUUUUAAUCAAAUCUUUUAAGUUUGUUUCGUUUUUUAAGAACAGUAUAAGAUCUAAGUUUUUUUCAAAAAAGGGGAAAAAAGGAAAAGAGAGAACGAGGUUACCGGAUCUUCGUGGUCGAGGCUCCCGCCGGAGAAAGUUAAUCGUCAUUCGCGUCACUAGCCACAAAGCUGAUGGUGGUCUAAUGGCUGCAUAAUAGACGAACCCUAGCAGAGCAAAGAUCCUUCCUUUUAUUUUUUUAUUUAUUUCAUUUCAUGUUGCGUUUUUGGGGAAGGAAAAUGAAUGGAAUGGAGAGCUUUAACCAUCAAAGAAACGGCGCCUUUAUGUUCUAAAGGGAAAUUUGCGCCAAGGGUCCUCCCCUUUUGUAUGCACGUUCAAUCGGCCCAUUUUUUAAAUUAGCUCCUCGAUUUUCACGCAAUUUCGUUUUAGCCCAUGGUAGUGCUGCGUUUUGGACUAGGGGAUAUUCCCAUUUCUGGUCCUCGCAUAGUCGGGCGCUUCAUAUACUGGUCCCUUUAACUAUUUCAUUUGUAAACCAUUCUUAUUAUUUUAAUUUGAUUUCAAAUAAUUUGCUUCUCCUUCAUUUUUCAUUUUUUUUUCUUUCCUUUUAAUUCGUGUUCACCAUUAUGUAUCAUUGGCUUGUUCUUCUUUCGAUAAUUAUACUGCC
rnacentral:lncRNA from 1 species